rnacentral:rRNA from 1 species
ACGGAGGGAGCUAGCGUUGUUCGGAAUUACUGGGCGUAAAGCGCACGUAGGCGGCUUUGUAAGUCAGAGGUGAAAGCCUGGAGCUCAACUCCAGAACUGCCUUUGAGACUGCAUCGCUUGAAUCCAGGAGAGGUGAGUGGAAUUCCGAGUAUAGAGGUGAAAUUCGUAGAUAUUCGGAAGAGCAGCAGUGGCGAAGGCGGCAAACUGGACUGGUAUUGACUCUGAGGUGCGAAAGCGUGGGGUGCACACAG